UACGGAGGGUGCAAGCGUUAUCCGGAUUCACUGGGUUUAAAGGGUGUGUAGGCGGGUAUUUAAGUCAGGGGUGAAAUCUCCAGGCUCAACCUGGAAACUGCCAUUGAUACUAUUUAUCUUGAAUCCUGUUGAGGUGGGCGGAAUAUAUCAUGUAGCGGUGAAAUGCUUAGAUAUGAUAUAGAACACCGAUUGCGAAGGCAGCUCACUAAACAGGCAUUGACGCUGAGGCACGAAAGCGUGGGGAUCAAACAGG
rnacentral:rRNA from 1 species